rnacentral:rRNA from 1 species
AGUCGACGGUAACGAUGGUAGCUUGCUACCAGGCGACGAGUGGCGGACGGGUGAGUAACGCAUAGGAAUCUGCCUAGUAGUGGGGGACAACCUGGGGAAACUCAGGCUAAUACCGCAUACGCCCUUCGGGGGAAAGGCUUCGGCCGCUAUUAGAUGAGCCUAUGUCUGGUUAGCUUGUUGGUGGGGUAAAGGCCUACCAAGGCGACGACCAGUAGCUGGUCCGAGAGGACGAUCAGCCACACUGGGACUGAGACACGGCCCAGACUCCUACGGGAGGCAGCAGUGGGGAAUAUUGGACAAUGGGCGAAAGCCUGAUCCAGCAAUGCCGCGUGUGUGAAGAAGGCCUGCGGGUUGUAAAGCACUUUCAGUAGGGAAGAUAAUGACGGUACCUACAGAAGAAGCACCGGCUAACUCUGUGCCAGCAGCCGCGGUAAUACAGAGGGUGCAAGCGUUAAUCGGAAUUACUGGGCGUAAAGCGCGCGUAGGCGGUUUGUUAAGUCGGAUGUGAAAGCCCUGGGCUCAACCUGGGAACUGCAUUCGAAACUGGCAGGCUAGAGUAUGGUAGAGGGAAGUGGAAUUCCGGGUGUAGCGGUGAAAUGCGUAGAUAUCCGGAGGAACAUCAGUGGCGAAGGCGGCUUCCUGGACCAAUACUGACGCUGAGGUGCGAAAGCGUGGGGGGCAAACAGGAUUAGAUACCCUGGUAGUCCACGCCGUAAACGAUGAGAACUAGACGUUGGGUUCAUUUAA